rnacentral:rRNA from 1 species
CUUAUGCAUGCAAGUCGAGCGAAGCUUUUCAGUAGUUUACUACAGAAAAUGACUGAGCGGCGAACGGGUGAGUAACGCGUGAGCAAUCUACCUUAGUUACAGGGAUAGCCCGAGGAAACUCGGAUUAAUACCUGAUAUUCUUUAUAUUUCGCAUGAAAUUAAAAGGAAAGGUCAGCCGAACUAAGAUGAGCUCGCGUUCUAUCAGCUAGUUGGUGAGGUAAAAGCUCACCAAGGCUACGACGGAUAGCUGGUCUGAGAGGACGAUCAGCCACACUGGGACUGAGACACGGCCCAGACUCCUACGGGAGGCUGCAGCAGGGAAUAUUGUGCAAUGAACGAAAGUUUGACACAGCGACACCGCGUGUGGGAUGACGGAUCUAGGUUUGUAAACCACUUUCAGGAGGGAAGAAAAUGACGGUACCUCCACAAGAAGCCCCGGCCAACUACGUGCCAGCAGCCGCGGUAAUACGUAGGGGGCGAGCGUUGUCCGGAUUUAUUGGGCGUAAAGAGCUCGUAGGCGGUUCAACAAGUCGUUCGUGAAAGUUCAGGGCUCAACCCUGAAAUGUCGAUCGAUACUGUUGUGACUAGGAUACGGUAGAGGUGAGUGGAAUUCCGAGUGUAGCGGUGAAAUGCGUAGAUAUUCGGAGGAACACCAAUUGCGAAGGCAGCUCACUGGGCCGCUAUCGACGCUGAGGAGCGAAAGCUAGGGGAGCAAACAGGAUUAGAUACCCUGGUAGUCCUAGCUGUAAACGAUGGAUACUAGACGUAGGAACUGGAUUGACGGUUUCUGUGUCGCAGCUAACGCGUUAAGUAUCCCGCCUGGGGAGUACGGUCGCAAGACUAAAACUCAAAGGAAUUGACGGGACCCCGCACAAGCGGCGGAGCAUGCGGCUUAAUUCGAUGAUACCCGUAGAACCUUACCUGGACUUGACAUAUAGGGUCUAGCUAUAGAGAUAUAGUGUGCAUUAGCGCCCUAUACA